rnacentral:rRNA from 1 species
GACGAACGCUGGCGGCGUGGUUAACACAUGCAAGUCGAACGGAAAGGCCCUGCUUUUGUGGGGUGCUCGAGUGGCGAACGGGUGAGUAACACGUGAGUAACCUGCCCUUGACUUUGGGAUAACUUCAGGAAACUGGGGCUAAUACCGGAUAGGAGCUCCUGCUGCAUGGUGGGGGUUGGAAAGUUUCGGCGGUUGGGGAUGGACUCGCGGCUUAUCAGCUUGUUGGUGGGGUAGUGGCUUACCAAGGCUUUGACGGGUAGCCGGCCUGAGAGGCUGACCGGCCCAAUUGGAAUUGGGGACCGGCCCGGACCCCACCGGGGGGGAGGGGGGGGGAAUAUGGCAAAAUGGGGGGAGGCCUGAUGGAGAACCGCCGGGGGGGGGAGGAGGGCCUUGGGGUUGAAAACCGCUUUCGCCUGGGACGAAGGGUGAGGGACGGAAAUGGGUAAAAAAGCACCGGCUAACUACGG